AAAAAGUUGGACCCGGACCACACGAGAUUGAGCAAUAACAGGUCUGUGAUGUCCUUAGAUGUCCAGGG